rnacentral:hammerhead_ribozyme from 1 species
AUCGAGCUGACGAGUCCCAAACAGGACGAAACGCGCGUCCUGGAU